UACAGAGGUCCCAAGCGUUGUUCGGAUUUACUGGGCGUAAAGGGCGCGUAGGCGGUCAGCACAAGUCAGUUGUGAAAUCUCCGGGCUUAACUCGGAAAGGUCAACUGACACUGCAGGGCUAGAGUGCGGAAGGGGCAACUGGAAUUCUCGGUGUAGCAGUGAAAUGCGUAGAGAUCGUAAGGAAGACCAGUGGCGAAGGCGGGUCUCUGGACAGUUCCUGACACUGAGGCACGAGGGCCAGGGGAGCAAACGGG
rnacentral:rRNA from 1 species